rnacentral:tRNA from 1 species
GAUUAGGUGGCUGAAGUUUAGGCGGUAGAUUGUAAAUCUAUUUAUAAGAUAUUUUCUUCUUAAUCA